rnacentral:lncRNA from 1 species
CGCUCGCAUAAAUGGCCCUAGGCCAAAAAAAAUAUGUGGGUUUCCGGUUUCCCGACCCUACCUAGCUUUUGGACGUCGAAAUCCCGACCCUAAACUUUUUUAUUGGAUCAUGCUUGUAAGUGUUUCCACUUAGAGGAAAAGUUUGUGGAAAAUUGAAAUUUGAGGCAAUAUUAGGGAAAUUUAUCUUUGGAUGUGGAAGCACUGACUAAACAAAAUGGCGUCCGCUUGUUCGGAAAAUUAAAAAAAAAGUUAAAAAAAAAAAGUUAAAACCGACCUACCCUACCUAAGUUUUUAUAAGAAGAAACCGGAAACCCACAUAUUUUUUUUUGGC